AGAAUCCGUUACAACUUAGAAGGAAGGAGCGUCUCUUCUGGAAGCUUCUUCUCCUUUUCUUCUUCUUCUUCUUCUUAAUCGUCUUCUUCUCCACAGCCAAUUCCAUUUCCAUUCCAGUGCCCCCUCUCCCUCUCCCUCUCCCUCUCCAUCUCCAUCCCUGCCCCUCCCACCAGUCAAGUCAGUCAUACUCAUCAUGCCUCCCUCCUCUCAAAUCAGAGACGUCAAUGGACGCCCUCUUCCCUCCCGAUCAAUCAGGGUAGUUAAUUAUUUUCCCUCUCCAUCCCUGCUCUGGUGACUGCGGUGCAGUGCGAAUGGUGAAGAAAGCCGGUCAACUGGCGGUUGGUUCGAUUGCUUUCCCCCAAAUUAAUCGUAUCGUAAAUUAUAAUUUGUAAUUUAAAAUUUGAGUUCUUGGUGAUGGUGAGAAUUGUCAGUCCUCGGUCCUUGGAGAGUGAGUGGGUGUUGGGGUCGGAUGCCAUCCCAUUUCAUUUCAAUAGACAUAUACAGUCACUGUCACAGAUUCAGCUGUUAUAUUGCAGAGAGAGAGAGAAACAAAGAAGCCCCGUCCCCCAUUGCUCAAGAAACCAGUGGAUCGGAGGUGAAGAUAACACCAUCAACUUUUGGGUAAGUUUAACCACCCUUUAUCCUUUCUUUCUUUCUUUCUUUUUGUACAGUCUGCGCCUCCAAUACAAUCCAAUUUACGAUAGCAAUAUAAUAGAUGAUUUUUCAUAGGUUUUAUCAAUUGUUUUCAUGGAUGAAUUCAUAAUUUGGUUUUUUACUGGUCUUUUGUAUUUUGAUACUUUAAAGUUCUCAAGAUCCCUCCACUUCAUUGCAAAUACUCUCCUGCAUCAACUGAAACUCCUCAUUUGAUCUUUGGGGAUGAGAGUUGUUGUUGUUAUAACUCAUCUGUCGCUAGAUCUUGUUUCUUGGUCACUUCAUAAAAUGAAAUUGUGGCACUUUUCAAAAUAUGUAUUCUUCUUUUCAAUCUGCUUUCCACUCCCCUUGUUACUCUUGCCUUGUCAUAGUUGAAUGAUUAAGGUUUUGGGUUCUCCCUUAAAAUUGACAAGAAUGGUGAUACGGGUGAUUCCAUAAAUCAUUUCUGAAGUUGAGGGAAAUCUGAAUCUUAAAUGUACUUUUUCAAAUCUUUAUUGUUCAUUUUCAUUCUCACCUUAAGUCAUACUUGAAAAGUUGAGGUGUUGUGUUCUCCCACGAGGAUAGUGAAUUGGGUGAUUCCAUAGAUCAUUCCUUCAUGAGAACCAAGGAGAAUGGUGAUGGGUGAUUCCACAAACCAUUCCUUCAAGUAAAAGGAAAAUCUAAACUUUUAAAUGUGUAUUUUCAAGUUUUUAUUUUGUCCAAAAUUGUUUUCAAAUCAAUUGUCCGUAUAUUUUACCUUCUCAAAAUGGAAUUGUGGAAAUUUUCAAAACACGAAUUCUUUUUUCAAUAUGGUUUACUGGCCAGCAACGCUUUCAAGUUCUCUUGACCUAUUUUUUGUUGAAAUUAUGAAGUUAUUUUGCUACUUUUGUCUAUUGGUGGUGAGAAGAGGUACCUUGAGUAGAAAAGAUAAAUAGGUUCGAGCCCUGGUAAAGUCCGUUGCUAGUGACACUGCCGUUCUUGUGAUGUGCAAUUCCUUGUUUGAUAUCACUUCCUGUUGAAUAUAUUUUAUCAAGCUUAUUUCUGUUUGUUUACCUACAUACCAAUCUUUUUAGUUGGCAAGGGUUUUACUACUGUUUUUUCGAGAGCCCGUUGUUAUUUACUUGUUUGGUUUUAAUAUUAUAUGCUAUUUUGAUUUCAUUUCUUUCAUUUUUUUUGUUUGUGUGUGUGUGAGGUUGGUGGACAUAAAGUGGAGGAGGUUGAAACAAAAAUCUGGAACUAAGGCGCGUCCAAUCAUCAAAGAUUGUAUGAUUUUCUCUGUUUGGUAGAUUUGCGUUUCGCAGUUGAGUUCUUGGUGAUGGAGAGAAUUGUUAGUCUUGGGUCCUUGGAGAGUGAGUGGGUGUUGGGAUCGGAUGCCAUCCCAUUUCAUUUCAGUUUCUCUGUUGCUGUCCCCCUUCAGCAUUGACAUAUACAGUUACUGUCAGAGAUUCAACGGUUUAGGGUGGUUUAACUCCGAUUGGUCGAAUGGAGUAAAAAUUAGAGAAGGUUAAGGAUGCUGUGGAGCUUUAAAUUAAUCCUCCUCUUUGAGUGGUAUAAAUGUUGCAAAUUGAUUUCAGGUUGGUGAGUAUCAUGCAGCACCUUUGUUGCGAAAUCCAAUUGCAGCUCACAACAAUUGCUCGCUGUCCUCUUUGUCUUGGGGUGAAGAAGAUCCAUGUUGAGGAGCAAAGAAAACAGUGCUGAAAUGGGAUUGAAAGCGAAGAAGAAACCCAUGAAAGUGCCAGGAAAGGAAUGCAAUGAAGAAUGUUGUUUUGAUGAUCAAUUGGCCAAUUCUCAGUGUGACCUUCCUCUUUGUUGCCAUUGUUGCUUUCCAGCCUGACAUUGAUAGUGACUGGAUUAUGCCUUUCAAGCCUGAGUGCUGGCUUCCUUACGUGAUAUGCUCAAGGCAGCCAUCUGAAACUGACGGCAUCCAAACCCAAAGAAGGAGAUGCAUGAACUUUUGUUGUAAACGGCUGUUCCAGUUGGUCUGAGUUUGGACACAACAUAUUCGGAACUGCACUGGCUACUAUUUCACUUGAUGGUGUAGUGGUGAGAUUGCUAACUUUUUUAAGUACUGUUUUCCUUUCAAAAGCAUUGGCUCAUUUAUUUCUCGUUGUCUAAACUCGGUAUUUUUCUAGUUGUUAUUAGCUAUCCUUGCGGAUGCAUAAUUCAUAGGAAUGCAUGUGACUUUCAAGAGUAAGUUUUCUAGACUUAAAAGUUGUGCUUUAUGUGCUAAUUGUCUUGCCAUUUUU